rnacentral:rRNA from 1 species
UAGUCCACGCCGUAAACGAUGUAUGCUUGGUGUUAGAACAAAUUGUUGUUCUAGUGCCGGAGAUAGUUCGUUAAGCAUACCACCUGGGAAGUACGAUCGCAAGGUUGAAACUCAAAGGAGUUGACGGGGGCCCGCACAAGCGGUGGAGCAUGUGGUUUAAUUCGAUGCAACGCGAAGAACCUUACCAGGCCUUGGCAUCCUAGGAAUCCUGUAGAGAUACGGGAGUACCUUCGGGAAUCUAGUGACAGGUGCUGCAUGGCUGUCGUCAGCUCGUGUCGUGAGAUGUUGGGUUAAGUCCCGUAACGAGCGCAACCCUUGUCCUUAGUUGCCAGCACAUAAUGGUGGGAACUCUAAGGAGACUGCCGGUGACAAACCGGAGGAAGGUGGGGACGACGUCAAGUCAUCAUGGCCCUUACGGCCUGGGCUACACACGUGCUACAAUGGAACGCACAAAGGGCAGCAAACCCGCGAAGGGGAGCUAAUCCCAAAAAGCCGACUCUCAGUUCGGA